rnacentral:rRNA from 1 species
GGCCGCGUCGAACUGGUCGUCGUCGAGGCCCGCCGCGAGCUCGUCGAGCCCCGCGCGCGACGCGUCGAUGAACUGCCGCGCGACCGCACCGCCCGUCAUCGGGCCGGCCUCGCCGUCGAUCAGGCUGCGAAUGCGCUGCUGGUAGCUCUGCACGGUCGGGUUCUGGCCCGUAUAGGCGUCCUUGAACACCGCCUGCAGAUCGGAAAAGCCGGAAAAGCCGAAGCGCUGCGCGAAGCGCACGACGGCGGACGGAUGCACGCCGCAGCGCUGCGCGAUGUCGCUCGUGCGGUCCAUCAUCACGCUCGAGCGGUGCUCGUCGAUAUACGAGGCGAUGCGCUUCAACUGGCGCGGCAGCGUGUCGUAGGCGCCGGCGAUCCGUUGCAGCAGAUCGUCGACGGCCGGCGUCUCCGGGGGGGUCGUGUCGUCCAUGUCGCUCCGUCGGCCCGGCCGCCCGCCCACGCGCGUCGCGCGCGGCGGGCAAGCGCCGGACGCCUUGCUCCGUGUCUUGUCGUGCAGCGAGUAUAGGCACUGCGUCCACAAAAUGGAACAGAUUUUCCAUCUCACGAACAAAUAAAAUUUUCUUUGCAAUCGGCGGCGAGUUGACCUAACCUUGCUCGUGAACGCGGCCCGACCCGCGUUCGCCCGAAAACGACAGACAGAGAAAGGUGGAGACAUGAGACUUUGCACUGGCAAGGCCGUCCUGCGCGCAUGCGUCGCCGCGAUCGCCGUCGCGGCGGGCGUGGGCGGCGCGGCCCCGGCAGCCCAGGCGGCGGGCGCGCGCUUCGCGCUCGUGAGCCACGCGCCCGAUUCCGAUUCGUGGUGGAACACGAUCAAGAACGCGAUCAAGCAGGCGGACGAGGAUUUCGAUGUCACGACCGAUUACCGCAAUCCGCCGAACGGCGACAUCGCCGACAUGGCGCGCCUGAUCGAGCAAUCGGCCGCGCGCGACUACGACGGCGUGAUCACGACGAUCGCCGAUUACGACGUGCUGAAGAAUUCGCUGAAGAAAGUCACCGCGAAGAAGAUCCCGCUCGUGACGAUCAACUCCGGCACCGAAGAACAGAGCGCGCAACUGGGCGCGAUCAUGCAUGUCGGCCAGCCCGAGUACGUCGCGGGUCACGCGGCGGGCGAGAAGGCGAAGGCGGCCGGCGUGAAGCGCUUCCUCUGCGUGAACCACAUCGCGACCAACAGCGUGUCGUUCGACCGCUGUCGCGGCUUCGCCGACGCGAUCGGCGCCGACUACAAGAGCUCGACGAUCGACUCCGGCCAGGACCCGACCGAGAUCCAGUCGAAGGUGAGCGCGUACCUGCGCAACCAUCCGAACACGCAGGCGAUCCUCACGCUCGGCCCGGUGCCCGCCGCGGCGUCGCUGAAGGCGGUGCAGCAGAUGGGCCUCGCGAACAAGCUGUUCUUCGCGACGUUCGAUUUCUCCGACGACAUCGCGAAGGCGAUCC